rfam:Triticum aestivum genome assembly, contig: Triticum_aestivum_CS42_TGACv1_scaffold_130621_2BL
UCAUUACUCCCUCCGUUCGGAAUUACUCGUCCAAGAAAUGAAUGUAUCUAGAUGUACUUUAGUUAGAUACAUCCAUUUUUGUGACAAGUAAUUCCAAACGGAGGGAGUACUUU